GUCCGACAUGUCCGAGUAAACGCCGAGCGUGACGUCUGUGGGUAAAUCUCGCCGUUAUACCACAGCGCUGUCGAAUUCUGGACUGCGAUUGGGCAGGAGGUGUUGAUGAAUUCUCUAGCGCACACGCUCUAAUACGUUAUGGUUUCUAUAGUAACCAUUGUAUCGCUGCUGUGACAUAGGUGAAAACGGGAACUUGAAUAACGUGCCACGUAACUAUAACCCUUUAACAACAACCCUUUUAAAAACUAAAAACAAUAAAUAACUAAAACUAAAAGUAAACACGCAGUACGGCAGAACAGAAAGAGAAAGGAGCUGCGGUGUCGUAUGUCAGAGCAUCACGCGCGUUCCUCAAGCGGUUAAUCCCAAACACGCUACAUGCUAGACAAGAUGCCAGUCGCAGUCACCUGAAGAUCAUCUGCGUACAUAAACCCCGGCUGAGUUCCCUUAGCGCUGAACGUUCAAGUCGAAGAAAAACGCUUACCGUUUCGUUAUAUCCGUUGGAAGUGGGCGGGGCUUAAACUGUGGCUUCUGGAGUGGAGUCGGCGCGGUGGAGAAAUCCUCGGUCAGUUCUUUGAUUCGCUGUUUCACUCCGACACCGCCAUCAGUUUUCUGCGAUGGGUGGCACUGGAGAACGAGGCUCGGCACCUCGCGUGACGGGAACCGAAACCGCGGACGAAGACGAGUCCAUAAGGAGACUAAUCCUCCGCUUUAUACCACUUCCUGCUCUUUCUAAAGGUCCCAUACUUGUUCUUCGUACCACGCCUGCUGUCUCAGUCGGCUUGAGUUUACCAGGAUCAUUAGGAGGAGGAGAAGGUUCUGAUGUAAGUGUUGGAGUGUCUGGUGUGCUGUCUGGCCCAGAAGUUGAUGUAGUUCUUGACUUGGGUUUGCCUGGUGGCUCUGGUUUGGUCAGCGACUCCGGUUUGGGUUUGGGCUGAGGUUUGGGAGCAACAAUGGGUCGUAUCGUGGUAUUUCUCUGCACAGCAAAAGGUUUUGGGGUGAGUCUCGGUUUGGGGCCUGGGACUGGUUUCUUGGGGUCUGAACCGAUGAUGGAUGAAUCCUCCAUGAGGGUUUUAUUACUCGAGUCAGUCAGAGGACUCAAACGCAGACGGCCGCUCAUCAUUCCAGGCUCGAGCUCCACUUGGGUCGCCAUCACUGCACCUGAGAGACAAGAGGAACACGUCAGACGUAUGACAGACCUCGGUUCUAAGGGAUCUUGACCCGGUUCGAGCCGAGUCCAUAAAGCGACACGUCAAUCGAUUAUCAGUAAAGAACGGUUUAUUCGAUACUACGCCGAGGUCGUCGCGUUCAUCACGACGCACGUCGUCUACCCGGCUUCCAGU
ensembl:lncRNA